rnacentral:rRNA from 1 species
ACGGCUCAGUAACACGUGGACAACCUGCCCUUAGGACGGGGAUAAACCCGGGAAACUGGGUAUAAUACCCGAUAGGUCUCGAUUGCUGGAAUGCAUCGAGAUUUAAAGCUCCGGCGCCUAAGGAUGGGUCUGCGGCCUAUCAGGUAGUAGUGGGUGUAGCGUACCUACUAGCCUACGACGGGUACGGGUUGUGAGAGCAAGAGCCCGGAGAUGGAUUCUGAGACACGAAUCCAGGCCCUACGGGGUGCAGCAGGCGCGAAAACUUUACAAUGCUGGCAACAGCGAUAAGGGAACCUCGAGUGCCAGGUUACAAAUCUGGCUGUCGAGAUGCCUAAAAAGCAUUUCAUAGCAAGGGCCGGGCAAGACCGGUGCCAGCCGCCGCGGUAACACCGGCGGCUCGAGUGGUAACCGUUAUUAUUGGGUCUAAAGGGUCUGUAGCCGGCCGGAUAAGUCUCUUGAGAAAUCUGGCAGCUUAACUGUCAGGCUUUCAGGAGAUACUGUCUGGCUCGAGGCCGGGAGAGGUGAGAGGUACUUCAGGGGUAGGGGUGAAAUCUUGUAAUCCUUGAAGGACCACCAGUGGCGAAGGCGUCUCACCAGAACGGACCUGACGGCAAGGGACGAAAGCUAGGGGCACGAACCGGAUUAGAUACCCGGGUAGUCCUAGCCGUGAACGAUACUCGCUAGGUGUCGGCCACGGUGCGACCGUUGUCGGUGCCGUAGGGAAGCCGUGAAGCGAGCCACCUGGGAAGUACGGCCGCAAGGCUGAAACUUAAAGGAAUUGGCGGGGGAGCACCACAACGGGUGGAGCUUGCGGUUUAAUUGGAUUCAACGCCGGAAAUCUUACCGGGACCGACAGCAAUAUGAAGGCCAGGCUGAAGACUUUGCCGGAUUAGCUGAGAGGUGGUGCAUGGCCGUCGUCAGUUCGUACUGUGAAGCAUCCUGUUAAGUCAGGCAACGAGCGAGACCCCCACA